rnacentral:rRNA from 1 species
UUCCUGCACCUCGCGUAAGUGCGAUGGAGGGACGGAGAAGGUUAGGUGUACCAGGCGUUGGUUGUCCUGGGGAAAGGCGGUAGGUUUGGAUCUUUGGCAAAUCCGGGAUCCUCUAAGACCGAGCACCGAGACGAGCCUUUAUGGCGAAGUCACUGAUACCACGCUUCCAGGAAAAGCUCCUAAGCUUCAGCUUACGCAGACCGUACCGUAAACCGACACAGGUGGGUAGGAUGAGAAUUCUCAGGCGCUUGAGAGAACUCGGGUGAAGGAACUAGGCAACAUGGCACCGUAACUUCGGGAGAAGGUGCACCCUUUUUGGUGGCUCGUGCGAGCUAUAGCUGAAGAGGGUCGCAGUAACCAGGCCGCUGCGACUGUUUAUCAAAAACACAGCACUCUGCAAACACGAAAGUGGACGUAUAGGG